GAGCGGAAGCACAAGAGAGCUUGCUCUCUGGGUGACGAGCGGCGGACGGGUAGAGUAAUGUCUGGGAAACUGCCUGAUGGAGGGGGAUAACUACUGGAAACGGUAGCUAAUACCGCAUGACGUCUUCGGACCAAAGUGGGGGACCUUCGGGCCUCACGCCAUCAGAUGUGCCCAGAUGGGAUUAGCUAGUAGGUGGGGUAAUGGCUCACCUAGGCGACGAUCUCUAGCUGGUCUGAGAGGAUGACCAGCCACACUGGAACUGAGGCACGGUCCAGACUCCUACGGGAGGCAGCAGUGGGGAAUAUUGCACAAUGGGCGCAAGCCUGAUGCAGCCAUGCCGCGUGUAUGAAGAAGGCCUUCGGGUUGUAAAGUACUUUCAGCGAGGAGGAAGGCAUUGUGGUUAAUAACCACAGUGAUUGACGUUACUCGCAGAAGAAGCACCGGCUAACUCCGUGCCAGCAGCCGCGGUAAUACGGAGGGUGCAAGCGUUAAUCGGAAUUACUGGGCGUAAAGCGCACGCAGGCGGUUGAUUAAGUCAGAUGUGAAAUCCCCGAGCUUAACUUGGGAACUGCAUUUGAAACUGGUCAGCUAGAGUCUUGUAGAGGGGGGUAGAAUUCCAGGUGUAGCGGUGAAAUGCGUAGAGAUCUGGAGGAAUACCGGUGGCGAAAGCGGCCCCCUGGACAAAGACUGACGCUCAGGUGCGAAAGCGUGGGGAGCAAACAGGAUUAGACACCCUGGUAGUCCACGCUGUAAACGAUGUCGACUUUGGAGGUGUGCCCUUGAGGCGUGGCUUUCGGAGCUAACGCGUUAAAUCGACCGCCUG
rnacentral:rRNA from 1 species